CAAUCAAUUAACCCAAAGUUUCCUGUCAUCGAGUUGCCAGACAGCACUGUCAGCCGGCUGUAAGACGGCGAGGGUUUCUCUCUCUCUCACCCUAUUUUUUUCCGUUUCUUUUUUGCCCUCCGCCUCAGUGCCUCUCACCUCCAUGAAAAGCGGCCACCUUUUGCUCCCGAAAGGCGGAGGAGCGGAGGAACAGAAGCCCUCACGCGCGCACGCGGCGCGCAGAGGCCGCCGUACGCCGUACGGCCGGCGCGCCACCGGGCCACCAGCGACAGGCGGCCGCGGGUGGCGAGAACGGUGAGAAGGAUUAAAAGAAAAAAUGGCGCGUCCAUGAGGUGGACGCGUUGGGUUCGUGAAUUGACUGGUAGUGCUAAAUUUGCUAAUUUGAUUCUCGUUGCAGGUGCAUCGGCCGGUGGCGGAUUAAAGGACGGUAAUGGCGUGGGUAAUUUUUUAGCUGAUGAGACUGCUUUGUUUACCUUGCCUUCUUCCUUGAGGCCGAGGAACUCCAUGGCCUUCUUCGCGCUGUCGACGGCGAUAACUGCACGAAAUUGAGCUCUGGUUUUUCAGAUUCUGGCGGUAAAGUCUUGAACCGAAGUGAUCAGAACGACAGUCUGAGCAGCAGGGUGUAUAUGUUUGUUGCACACAAAAUCAAACACCAAGGGGAAACGGGAAAGAAAAAAAACAGAGACGACGAGUGUGCUUGCAAAUAUGCAUGCUCAUUAUUAGUGGUAAAAAGAAAGCAUCAAUCUGUGAUGAAAAUUACAGCAAUGGAUGAAGCAAAAGAAAAGAAAAGAAAAGAAAAGAAAAGGGAAAGAGCACGCACGCAUUGGGACAAGAGGAUGAAGGCAGGGCAGCCAUGGAAAGAAGAAACAGCCGGUGACUUGAAAGAAGCAGAGGAGAGAUUCAGGAAAAGGCGAAUGGAAACAGAGAGGAUGAGGAAGCAAGCCAAGCAAGAACCGAGACGAGGAAUGAGCGAGUGAGUGAGGGGCGUAGAAGGAGGAGGAGGGCGGCGGCGAGCUGAC
rnacentral:lncRNA from 1 species